AACGAACGCUGGCGGCAGACCUAACACAUGCAAGUCGAACGCUGUAGCAAUACAGAGUGGCAGACGGGUGAGUAACGCGUGGGAACAUGCCCUUCGGUUCGGAAUAACUCAGGGAAACUUGAGCUAAUACCGGAUACGCCCUUAGGGGGAAGAUUUAUUGCCGAAGGAUUGGCCCGCGUCCGAUUAGCUAGUUGGUGAGGUAAUGGCUCACCAAGGCGACGAUCGGGUAGCUGGUCUGAGAGGAUGAUCAGCCACACUGGGACUGAGACACGGCCCAGACUCCUACGGGAGGCAGCAGUGGGGAAUAUUGGACAAAUGGGCGAAAGCCUGAUCCAGCAAUGCCGCGUGAGUGAUGAAGGCCUGGUGUAAG
rnacentral:rRNA from 1 species